rnacentral:misc_RNA from 1 species
GUGGGAGGGGGCUUGCUCCCGAUAGCAGUGUGUCAGUCAGCUUAUCGGUAGCUGUCACACCGCCAUCGGGAGCAAGCCCCCUCCCAC